rnacentral:rRNA from 1 species
UGCCAGACUCCUACGGGAGGCAGCAGUGAGGAAUAUUGGUCAAUGGCCGAGAGGCUGAACCAGCCAAGUCGCGUGAGGGAAGACGGCCCUACGGGUUGUAAACCUCUUUUGUCGGGGAGCAAAGCGAGUCACGUGUGACCCAUUGAGAGUACCCGAAGAAAAAGCAUCGGCUAACUCCGUGCCAGCAGCCGCGGUAAUACGGAGGAUGCGAGCGUUAUCCGGAAUUACUGGGUGUAAAGGGAGCGCAGGCGGGAAGCCAAGUCAGCUGUGAAAACUACGGGCUUAACUUGUAGACUGCAGUUGAAACUGGUUUUCUUGAGUGAAGUAGAGGUUGGCGGAAUUCCGAGUGUAGCGGUGAAAUGCGUAGAUAUUCGGAGGAACACCGGUGGCGAAGGCGGCCAACUGGGCUUUAACUGACGCUGAGGCUCGAAAGUGUGGGGAGCAAACAGGAUUAGAUACCCCUGUA